CGCUCCUUUCGAUGUGAAUCAGGCGCGUAUACGCAAUGCAUCUGUACACGAUUUCUCUACAUUAUGAUUCGCCGCAACAUCAAGGUCGGAAACGAGGAAACACUUCCAUAAAAGCAAAUAUCAUAGUAGAUUUUACGCAAAAUGGAUUGUACUCACAUAUAGCAUUGAAAGAAUAAGAAUAGUUUCAAUCCCACUUCGUGGAUUAAAAUGGAUUCAAAAAAAUCAAGAAUUUGGAUUCGGCAAUCGUCAUCACGAAUCCAUUUCAUUCCAUUUCUGUUUGCUGGGAGAUUGAAUUAUAUGUAAUCAUGAGAUAAACAUAUAAUAUGUAUAAUAUUCAAAAAUUGAAUAUCCAGAUUUAACCAGAUACAUUAGUCGAUUU